UACGUGAGGGGCUAGCGUUGUCCGGAUUUAUUGGGCGUAAAGGAGCGUGUAGGCGGCCAGGUAGGUCUUGGUGUGGAAAACUCGAGGCUUAACCUCGAGAUGUCCAUCGGAAACCAUCUGGCUAGAGUCCGGAAGAGGAGAGUGGAAUUCCGUGGUGUAGCGGUGAAAUGCGCAGAUAUCAGGAAGAACACCAAUGGCGAAAGCAGCUCCUCUGGGACGGUACUGACGCUGAGACGGCGAAAGCGUGGGGAGCGAACAGG
rnacentral:rRNA from 1 species